rnacentral:rRNA from 1 species
CGACCGCUGGCGGCGUGCUUAACACAUGCAAGUCGUACGGUAAGGCCCUUUCGGGGGUACACGAGUGGCGAACGGGUGAGUAACACGUGAGUAACCUGCCCACAACUUUGGGAUAACGCUAGGAAACUGGUGCUAAUACUGGAUAUGUGCUCCUGCUGCAUGGUGGGGGUUGGAAAGCUCCGGCGGUUGUGGAUGGACUCGCGGCCUAUCAGCUUGUUGGUGGGGUAGUGGCCUACCAAGGCGGCGACGGGUAGCCGGCCUGAGAGGGUGACCGGCCACAUUGGGACUGAGAUACGGCCCAGACUCCUACGGGAGGCAGCAGUGGGGAAUAUUGCACAAUGGGCGCAAGCCUGAUGCAGCAACGCCGCGUGCGGGAUGACGGCCUUCGGGUUGUAAACCGCUUUCAGCAGGGACGAAGCUUUUUGUGACGGUACCUGCAGAAGAAGCACCGGCUAACUACGUG